CCCGCGCAUGCUCUAUGGGGUAGAGACGCUAGGCCGGCACUGCCUAGGUGGGCCGGGCGGUGCGAGGGUCGCCUUUCAGCCUUUACCUCUACCCACUGAAAUGGAGUAGGUCGGUGAGCGCCGAUCUGCUGGAGAAUCUCAUUAUCCCAUCGGCGCUCUGCCUGCUCCUGGCCUCCAAGCCUCUGAAGCCCCUCGGGUUUCAGCUGCCGGCUACCCUCGAGCCCGUGGUGCCCACGAGAGAGGCGACUUUACGUCAGCGGCCCUGGGCUGAGAUUUGAGAACGCGACCAAGUGGAGAAUGUUGGAGCCAGAUUUUAAAAUCCUUGUCUUCCUUCUGCGUGCUACUUGAUCUAAAUGAGAUACGGCAAAGUCACAGAACCUGUUUUUAUGUUUUUGCCUGAUUCAUACGGGCUUCUCCGGUGAAGAUGGGCCUGAAGUAACGCUUGGGUUGCUUCUGACGUUAUAACUCAUCCUGUAGCUGCAGCAACCGUGGUCCUUGCAACCUCAUAAAAAUGUUGCCAGCAUUGUUUCGAUAGUGCUGCUUAAUUCUUGGAAGGUUCUUCGGACUUCACACAUUCCAGCAGUAGCUCUCUCAGCUCCUGUCCUGCACAGCUUUGAAGUGCUGGUGAUGUCAUUGAACUCUUAAGUGCAAGAUGAAACAAGUCUUUCUGGGGUUCUAAGUAGGUUGCCUCAUCACUCUGUUGAUGGGCUAAAGACCUGAAGAGCCAUUUGUCCAAAGAAGACAUACAAGCGGCCAACAGACAUAUGAAAAAAUGCUCAACAUCACUAAUCGUCAGGGAAAUGCAAAUCAAAACCACAGUGAGAUAUCACUUCACACCUGUCAGGUUGGCUAUUACUGAAGAAACAGAAAACAUGACUAGUGUUGCACCGCCUGAGAUGUGAUGGUGAGCUGAGCUGUACCUGAAUCCUGAGCUGCCCAGCCCAGGCAGGAAGCACACUGGCGAUCUCUUUCCAUCGGGGGGCAGCUGCCCUAGGCUGGAAGUAUUUUAGCUCUGAAUCUGCUGUUAGAGGGUCUAUCAUUCUUUGUCAUUUUUUUCUCUCAGAUACUGCUCUUUUUAGUUUAGUUUUAUUUAUUAAUAUCUUCCUACUGUGGUGCUUAACGUCUCCUUUCCCCCUCCUCCAAGGGUGAGAGGUCUGGUUGAAAGAUCUCUACUAGCUACGCAGUAAUUUUUUUAUAAUUCUUCCUUCCUUCAAAUGUGUCUUUUUGUGACCCAAUCGAACGCUGGCAAUGAAGUUCCUUAUCUCCAUUUGACUUGUGCAUGAAGCCAACACUCAGAAAUCCUACUUCAUCCCUUACCUUUUCUCUUUGUAGCUAACCCAAAAUGUGUUCAGUUUUACUAAAAGCUGAAGCUCUCCACAAACUUCUGAGUAUAGUGUACUCUGGCCGAAAUGGCAGCCACUUUUUCAAUAUUUUUCAUGUUAAUUACAUUUAACUACACUUAGUUUCAUGAAAUUGAAAUUUACAAAAAAGGAGGAAAAAACCAUGGGGUGGGGGUGGGGAAAUGUGGUAAAUUAUAUUUUUAGAGAAAUACCAGAAGUAGUUUUGUUUUAUUUCAAAAAAAAGUAAUUAAAAAUCGUUUAAAUCAUUCAUAACUUCUAUAAAGUUCUUUUCUAGCUUCUGUUUGACAUAAAAAUAACAAGAUAAUGAGUCGUGGGCCCGGGGAACCAGAAAUCUUGGCUGUUGAUCUGGUAUUUGUGGCUCUAUUGCUGAUUGGUAUAGAAGUGAACUUAUGUGACCAUAAAGGUGAAUGCAGUCAAAAUGGUCAGACAUGCAGUCAACUCUAAAGAUGUUGUGAUAGGGGCCGAAAGUCAAGAAAUAAACUUUAGUAGAUUACUGUGUGAUGGAGAAGAAAUUAUGAGAAGAAAUGCACCUGAAGUGGUCUCAGGGAUUUGUUUCACAUUAAAAAAAUAUACUUUAUUUUUUAGAGCAGUUUGAGGUUCACAGCAAAGUGAAAUAGAAAAUACAGAGAUGUCUCACCUACCCCCUACCCCCGCCAUGCACAGUUUCCUCCAUUAUCAUCAUCCCUAGCCAUAGUGAGAAUUUGUUACAAUUAGGGAACCUGCUUUGGCACAUCAUUAUCUCUCAAAGCACACAGUUUACAUUAGGGUUUUCUCUUGGUAUUGUACAUUCUCUGUUUUUUGACAAAUGUAUAAUGUCAUGUGUCUACCGUUAUAGUAUCAUACAGAAUAGUUUCACUGCCCUAAAAAUCUUCUGUAUUCUGCCUAUUCAUCUCUCUUUUUCUUUCCCCAAACCCCUGACAACCAUUGAUCUUUUUACUCUCUCCAUAGUUUUGUCUUCUCCAAAAUGUCAUAUAGUUGGAAUCGUACAGUAGUAGGUAGCAUUUUAGAGCAGCUUCUUUUACUUAGUAAUAAGCAUUUGUGUCAUUCAUGUAUUUUCAUAGUCUGAUGGCUCACAUCUUUUUGGCAUUGAAUGAUAUUUCAUUGUCUAGUUGUACCACAGUCUACUUAUCCAGCCAUCUACUGGAGGACAUCUUGGUUGCUUCCAAGUUAUGGCAAUUAUAAAUAAAGCAGCUAUACGUGUCCAUGUGAAAGUUUUGUGUGGGUGUAGGUUUUCAACUCACUUUGAAAAAUACCAGAGUGUGAUUGCUGGAUUGUAUUUCACUUUUCAGUUCUGUUUGUGAGUGUUAUUUUAAAAAGAUGCUAUAGGAUAUGCUGCCCUGCACAGAAUAGGUAGAUAGGAACCAGGCAAACGGAAUGUUAUCUGAGGCUCAUUCAUGUCAGUGUUCACUCCUGCAAUGCAGAGUAAAAUCUCUAGUAUAUAGUUAUAGUUUACAAUAACUGGAAGUAGGUUUCCAGGAAUAGGACAGGAUUGACAUGGAUUUUUGAUGCUGCUAUUACUCCUCUACAUUUCUAGCAGAAAAGGGGAAAAUUAUGUCUGGCUGGGCACUGGAAUUGCUUUAACAAC
rnacentral:lncRNA from 1 species